CAGUGUUAAUUUAUUGUCACCUUCUUCCUGUAACAAAGGCUGGGAUAGAUCUUCACGCACACCACGACCGAGGACAGCACCUCACUUGUGAUCCACUUCCCCAGGCAAUCGGAGCUCCCCGUCCCCUGUUACUGCACAAAUCUCUGAAGGGAAGGCUUCCAAGAGGAGGUGACAUUUUUGACAUGGACUGGGAGGAUUUGUACGAUUUGUACAGGAAGAAAAGAAAGAAAUACCAGGUGAUGGCUCAGAUGCAAAAGCCCCAUGGCAUGUUGGGAAUGGUGAAUCUUUCAGUUCGAUUGGAAGAUAAGGAUGUUGGAGGAGGAGAAGGAAACUGGUGGAAUGGUAGAAUGGAAUCCAGGGAGCAUCAGGACCUCCAUUAAUGGACAUUGAACAAGGGAGAGUGGGGAGCCUGGGAAGGUUUUCAGCAGGUGUGCUAGUCAGUUUUCUUUCCCUAUAAUAAGAUACCUGAGAUAAUCAACUUAUAAAGAAAAAAAAAAGGUUAGUUAGGGCUCAUGGUUUUGAGGGUUCCAGUGCAGAAUUGGUUGGCUCUGUGGCUUUGGGCCUGUGGCAAGGACAUCGUGGUGCUCACAUCACAAGCCAGCGAGGGAGCAAAGAGAGAAGGCUGAGCUGGGACCCUACAGUUCUCUUCGGAACACAUUCCCAAAGACCUAAAGGUGUUCCUUUAGGCCCCGCCUCUUAAAGGCUCCACCAGCUGGUAGUAACUCCACUUGGGGAGUUUAGGGAACAUUUAUGGUCCAAAGUAGAGAUCAGGAAAGUGGCACAUCGGCUGUAUUCACUGGAAGGACCCCUCUGUCAGCCACUGAGUGGAUUAGAAGGUGGGAAGACCACCAG
rnacentral:lncRNA from 1 species